CCCUGGGGAGGAAGGGGGGCAGCAGCCGGACCCCGAAGGAGCUCAGGGUGGGUCUUCCCGGUUCUCGCUCACUCUGAAUUUAUGCUUUUUUUUUUUUUUUAAAGAUCUUAUUUAUUUUGCCUCCAGGGUUAUUGCUGGGGCUCAGUGCCUGCACUACGAAUUCACUGCUCCUGGAGGCCAUUUUUUAAAAUUUUUGUUGCCCUUGUUAUUGUGAUUGUUGCUGUUGUUGGACAGGACAAAGAGAAAUCUAGAGAGGAAGGGAAGACAGUGAAGGAGAGAAAGACCUGCAGACCUGCUUCACUGCUUGUGAGGCAACCCCCACUGCAGGUGGGGAGCCAGGGGCUCGAACUAGGAUACAGUGCUGCUGCGGACCGAACUCGGGACCUCGUGCUUAAGAGUCCAGUGCCCUAUCCACUGCGCUGACUCCCAAUCUCUACUCCCACCCACCCCCACCGCCACUCCUGGGCCACAAUUUUUUUUUUUUUUUUUAACCAGAGCACUGCUCAGUUCUGGCUUAUAGGAUGCGGGGGUUUGAACCUGGGAUUUUGUAGCCUCAGGCAUGAGUGUCUGUUUGCAUAACCAUUAUGCUAUCUACCUCCGUCCCCCUUUAAAAAAAUUUUUAAAAUCGUUUUAUUUAUUUAUUAUUGGAUAGAGGCAGAAAGAAAUUGAGAGGGGAUAGAGACAAAGAGACCUCUGUAGUCCUGCCUCACCACUUAUGAAACUUUCCCCCUGCAGGUGGGGAUCAGGGGCUUGAACUCUGGCCCUUGUGUACUAUAAUGUGUGCACUUAACCAGGUUUGCCACCGCCUGGUCCCCACUCUAAAUUUGUAUAGACAUGCUUAUUGGUCUGAGCGCCUGAUUAAUUUCUUGGGGAGUACAUCUCUCCAUUUGAGUUAUAGUCGCCCCAUGUCCCCAGUGGUGCCCUGACACAGAUUCCAGAAACCUGAGGGCAGUCUGCCUCCAACCCCUGUCCUUUGGAUGGGCUUCGCCUGAUGAAAGAGUCCUUUCGAACAUCACCAAGACCUGUUACAAGUUCCAGCCCCACUGCUUUGCUGCAGUUGUGCAGGGCAACCACAUAGGGGAGGUGUUUUUAAACAGGUCUGACAUGUGGAAGCCAAGGCGCUGAUUGGUUAAGCGACCUCCCAAGAACAGUGCUGCUGGCCAGGCCAGCCUCCCCGGCCUCUGCCUAGAUGUAGUUCCAUCCUUCAGUUGUCAGGGACGAAAAUAAAGUCUUUUACUGCCUACAGU